AGGUGGAAAUUACGUGAUGCAAAAUGGAAUGUAUAGUUGUGGGACUUGCACUAAGUCGUACAAGUCAAAAGGUCAAUCGAGAUACUCCUGCCUUUCAUGUGGAAAACACUAUUCGAAACAAACGAAUUUGAGACGACACCAACGGGUUGAAUGUGGAAGGGAAAAAACAGUAUUUUGCAAUUUAUGUGAUUUCAAGUGUUAUUAUAAACACGAAUUGAAGGCGCAUUUACGAGUGAGACACAAUAUCAGUUCCAAACCUGUUUCAAAUCGAAAAGAAAUAUGAAAUUAUGUAACAAUUAACGAAAAUAAAAAAUAUAUACAACAACCAACUAAGUGAAAAA